rnacentral:lncRNA from 1 species
CCAUCCCCUAAAUUGAUUUCCUCCAUAUCCUCUCUCAAAAUCACGUGCCCACCUUCGAUCCAUAACCGAAUUUGAUUCCUUUUGAUAAGAGUAGUGAGAAAUCCCUAGCGCCUCAAGCUCGACCACUUCAUAUCAUCGCUGCAUCUCCGUCAACCCAACACCUCAAAACCAUCAAAUCAUCUAUUUUCCACCAAAAAGCCACUGUUAUGUUAUUCUUCUCUCCAUUAGAACCACCAUAGCAGAUCUAUUUACACCACCAGUAGAUUGUCGUCUCUUAGCCUUACAUACCAUGAAUACCCAGUUGCAAUCUCGGUAAAACCUCAAAUAAAAUCCAGACACCAAUAGUUUAUUUUCCAGCUUCCAUCAUUAUCGAGUUCCGAGUUUUAAGGCGAGGUAUCUAAAUGGAAAGAAUUCGUGUCAGUGAGGUUUCCGAUUCGAGGACCGUACGGCAUCCGCGGUUCAAGUUCCAAUCGUCGUUGCUUGCUAUAGCAAUUUUGCAUCAAAAUAGAAAGUUGGAGACUCUCGUUAAUGGCAAAGCUCUAUUUGAGGUCCAUUUCUUACUCUGAUUUGUAAAUGUUCUCUCUGUGAUCCUGUUAUCAAUCUUUGAUGAUUUAUAAUUGUUUUGCUGUUUCAUUGUUUGUUUAAGAUUUUGUUGAUUGGAUUCAUUUUGUUGAGUUUUCAUUUGAUACGUUAUUUGGGUACAGACAUGGAUUAGUUAGUUUCAUCCAUUUUAAAAGGGUGAAUGCACGUGAUUUAUUGGGUCAAUUGUUUUGGACUAAAAAUUCGUCGAGAGCAUAAAAUGAGUCAUGACAGUAAUUAGAAUUAAAAGCAAGUUUUGGAUUGUGAGUUAAAAAUAAAUUUGGACUUGGCUAUAUUCUGAGGUCAGGCUUGAUGUAAUUUAGUUGCUCUUUUACUUUGACGCUCACUAAUUGGAUCGGCUGGAGCAUGUUUUGGUUUAAAAUUGGAUUUGGGGUUUUGGUUAAUAAUGAAAAGGAAUUUGAGCUUAAGAAAGAUUCUGUUAUUCUCGUGUUGAUUCUCAUUUAAUUAUUUGGGUCGUUAGGAGCAUACUUAGGAAAAUAAUCACUUGUGAACACCGUAGUUUACUUUAGGCGCGAUUAAUAAAUCAUCGUGGACAUGGGUACGGUUCCCGUGGCAUGGUCACGAUACGUAAAUCCCAACUCAAGUACGCGUUUCACGUGACUUGACCUCAACUUCAAAUAAUAAUAACAAACAUGUUGUAAAUUAUGGGUGCGUUUCACGUGGCACGAUUCGCAAUAUGUACAAAAACCAACGAGUGCGCGACAUCGCGACUUGUUCAAAAAAAUCCCAUAAAUACUAAAAGCGAUUGAAUUAAUUAAAAGCGAUUAGAAUGUUAAAAAUGCAUGAUAGGUUUUAAACAUGUAACAAAUCAGAUAAUUAGGCCCAUUAUUAAUAAUUAAACGACCGUGCUAAAAUCACGAAAUUCGGGAGUACCUCACACCUUCUCCCGGGUUAACAGAACUCCUUACCCGGUCUUCUAGUUUUUGCAGACUUUCAAACAUAGUUAAAUUUCCUCGAUUUGGAAUUUAAAAUAAAUCGGUGACUUGGGACACCAUAAAUUAUUCCAAGUGGCGACUCUGAUUAAAUAAAUAAUCUCAUUUCGAUUAAUGUCACUUUAAUUGGAAAAACUCCCUAUCCAUCGGGAAAAUGGAGGUGUGACAGCUCUGGCGACUCUACUGGGGACAAGAACCCAGAAUCUCUGGUUCAGGGUUCAGAAUUCGAGCUUAGAAUAACUUUUAUGCUUGGCUUUCUUGUGAUUGUCUGAUAUUACAUGUUUGGGCCUAAUGUGCUAAUUGCCGCUCAUUUACCGCUUUGAUAUUCUGUGAACUGUAUAUAAACUGUUACGCCACCCUUCUUCUCUCUGAGUCUUCUAAAUCUUCUGAGAAGCGCAUUUGGUGUGGCUUCUUUUCUAUUAGAGUGUCAUAUCCCUAAUUUAGAACGAGGAUCGGAUCAGUUAUAAAGCCGAAUGGCCUUUUGGUUUCUGGUACAUUGCCCUCCCUCCCCCCUCCCCCCAGCUCGAGCUGUCCUCUCGGGUAAGCCAGGUCUAGAAAAACACACCCCAGGAUUCAAAUCUAGAAUAACAUAGACUCAUGCCGGAUCCCUAGUAGGAACAUUUGUCUGCAUCACGUGCAUUUGACUUUGGGGACUCAACACAGGGGUUGAGUCUGUCUAGGACAUGUGUAUCCCAAAAUAAAAAGACCAUCCUGAUGCAUCUUAUGUGCUACUUGUUGCAUUUGUUUGUUCUGGUUUGCAUGUUGACUGGUUUCUAGAAUAGGGAAAGAAAAAUUUUUAAAAAAAGAGUGAGAGUUAGGUAUUUGAAAUCUGAAACUCUGCCGAAAUUUUAUUUUUUAAAAAAAGAAAGAAAAUAAGCCAAUAUUUUCAAAAGUCAUGUUUCCCCUAUUCCGUCAAAACUGACAGAACUACGCGGGCCUGAUUCUCACCGGAUGUGAGAUACGUAGGGAAACCUUAUCGGUCCCGGCCCACAAUUUUAAAAAAUAAAUCCAAAAAAUAUUUUUCUUUACUUACUUCUUUAGAAAGUCUUUCUUUUAGACCACAAUUUUCAAAAAAAUCAAAAACUAUUUUCCUUUACUUCCUUCUUUAGAAAGUUUUUUCUUUUAGACCCCAAUUUUCAAAAAUCCAAAAAUAUUUUCUUUUAAUUCCUUCUUUAGAAGUCUUUCCUUUGAAAAUUUCAAAUACAAAAAAAAAGAGUUUAAAAUUAAAAAUAUUUUCUUCCUUUAUAGAAGUCUUUCAUUCAAAAAAAAAAAAUCAUUCAAAAUUCAAAAAUAUGUUUUUUUUUUUUUUGGAAGUCUUUCUCCCAAAAAUCAAAAAUCNNNNNNNNNNNNNNNNNNNNNNNNNUUCGGAAAUUAAAAAAAACAAUCAAAAUCCAAAAGAGUUAGUUCAUUUACUUUAUUUCUUAUCUUCCCGAACUACGCAAGAUCUGAUUCAUGUUCCCAUAUGAUAUGUAGGCAACCCUCGUCAGGUUCGAUCUAAUGGUUUUAAAAAAAAGAGAGAGAAGAAAAAAAAAGAGAGAAAAGAAAGAAAAAAAACAGAUUGAUCAUUCUAACAUGCUUGUUGUUUUGAAAUAAAACCUGGUUAAAGGUAGUCGAUUUGUUGGUUUGCAACGGCGAGUCACAAAAAUAAUCCAAGAUCCCUCGAAAAUAAAAACAUUUUCUCAACCAAUGGAACAAGCACCACUAUUGUUGAUCCAAAGUCACGAAAAGGCAAGUAGGCAAGUUAGCAGUGAAAAAUCAAAAAUGGAGGCAAAUGUGGGGUUGACUUUACCAGAUUUGAGCAAUAGGACAUGGCAUGCUUGGGAUGAUUUGAGGAAAGGGAGACAUAAAAAUUCUUCCAAGUCCUUUAAUAAAUGAGUUGCUUUGAAAUUUUCCCAUGUCGUCAGUCCUGAAAUCCGACAGUCAAUAUUGGAAAUAUUUUGAUCAAAAAGCCAAAAUUUGAGUGCUGAAUCAGAAGGAAUAUAAAGGUUGAAUGUCGUAGUAGUGCUGAUGUACAAAUUUGUGGCAAAGAUGUUGCUUAGUAACUAGAAAGUCACUCUUCUUUUAUCCAUGGUAGCUUAUUUUUUCUUCUUUUCUUCUUCUUUUUGUGUUAUCGAACCCUUAUGUCCGUUAUUCAAUAAAAAAACAGUCAGUCAUUUUGUGUCCAUUUUGUGCAUAAUUCUUUUCACGCUAAUUCUAGUAACAUGACAUGCAUGUGAAAAUUUUGGCCAGAUCUUAAAAAACUUAUUUAAUAUUGAAUUGGAUAAGUGAGAAAGAGACACUUUUGAAGAUGAAUAAAGACAUGAAAUAUUUGAAAAAUAAGCAUGAGCCAAGUUUACAUGGGAACCAAAGCAGUCAUGCUCAUGGAAUUUAAGGAUCUCUACCUUUUGAAUCAUGAGAAGAUCGGGCUUAAGAAUAAUCGGACGGGUUGAAGUCUGUUUAGCACUAUGAGAUAGAAAGUGUUUUUCAAAAUAAGGUGUAUUAUAGACAACUUGAAAUGGAUCAGUUUAGUGGAAAAAUGCAUUUUUUACAUCAAGAUAAAAUCCAAGAAAAAGUCACCCAAAUUGACAAGGGUCAUUCACUGCGAGGAAAGUAUUGCUCAUACAGCUUUACACUGAAAAAGACCCAAAAAGCAACAUGUCCAUCAAUAUUGUGAUUGUGAAGGGCUUACAUGAUUGGCAUUCUCGAGGCUAGGAGGCCUUUUUCUGCUAUCCAAAUACUUUAUACCCUUCGUUACCCCUUUUGAACUUGUGUUAUUUUCUUUGACCACCCUCUUUUGGAAUCAAGUGUACAGUUGAAAGUAAAAAAAAAUGAAAUGAAAAAUGAAAAGAAAAGUUCAUGCCCCAAGAGUACAAAUUGGGCAAUUCUUAGAUAGUUCAAGUGAAAAAAAAGAGAGAAGAAAAUAACAGUCAAAGGUCCAUUUUCCCAGAAAAUAAAAGUUGGGGCAACUUAUUUUGGAAACAAAAAAAAAAAGAAGAAAAAAAGAAAAAAAAAAGAAAGAAAGAUGAAAGCAAAAAAAAAUAGUUAGGUCAGAUGUAUAAACUACGUUUGUCCUGAUUCCUUUUUAAAAAGGAUACGUAGACAGCCUUACACGGUUCGGUCCAACCAAAUAAGAAUUCAGAAGAAAAACAAAAUCAAAAAAUCGCCAGUAUCUGAAACCGGGGCAAAGAUUUUAUUUCACUUUUGAAAGAGUCGAUUCCAAGAAUUGUAAGUCUACAACUCCCUCAUUUUGAGUCUACUUUGACCCUCAUGUCGUCCAUUCUUUCUAAGCAUUUCCAAAAGCCUUCCAAACAAGACCUCCUGAUCAGUUUUGAGAAUGCCAAGGGAAAUCCGCAAUGAUCAAUGGUUGUCAUAUGGAGGACAUGGUCAUGGUUCUCACUCAAGGAAUCAAGAAAAAUCAAAAAAAAAGAAGAGAAAAAGAAAAAUGAGAGAGUCUUACUAGUGAAAACCCCCACGGGCACUGUAAGGCGACUGUAAGUAGAGAAAAUAAAUGAGAGAGGCUUGUUGGUGAAAAUCUCUCAGGGCACCACUAGUCGAAAGUGAGUCGUGAAUCUGAUGCAAAGGAUUGGGACGAACAAGCCCGACUUCAAAGGUCAUAAGAAUGGUAAAAGGGAAGAUUGGAUUAAUUUGAUAGAUCAGCCGUUAUUCAUGUCAUGAUCAUUAAGGCUAGUUAUUGAAAAAAGAAGAAGAAAAACUCUUCCCUCUUUCCUUCCCGACAGGGGCAUUUCUUGUUAAUACUGUUUCUUUGCAUCAUUGUGUCCCUUCACUCUGAGUCAGUCCUUGUCAAAACAAGCAAGAAAAGAUUUCAAAAUCUGCUGCCAACUUUUCAGUUGCACAAAGUAAAUUUGGCCAGCAUACUCAAGUGUUACAGUCAACAUGCCUUGAGGAUUCAUGCAAAGGCUUCCCCUCAAAAGACCCUUGUCAGUCUACUUGACUAAAGCAAGCAAAGAUAACCUCGAGGUUAAUCAGGGGCUCUCUGUAGUACUGAACAGAGACUAUGAAGUGUGCACAUCAUGCAAAAGGCGCAUACCCAGAUGCGACUCUCUCUGACAGACAAAUUAUCCCAAAAGCAAGAAGUCAUUCAAGAUAUCAGAAAAGGUCACCUAAGCAAAGAUCUCUAGUUGGCAUAAGGCUGAUUGAGCCACAAAUAAAAAUGGUACUGGGUUGAAACAAUCAGGGUUGAUGCAGAGCAAAAGUCUCUUAAAAUCGACUCAAGCUGAUUGAGCAAAAGCUAAGCUGCCCAAAACUCAAGGCCACAAACCGACCACCACUUUCAAACUGACAAAAUUUUCUUUGUUUGAAAUAGGAACAAAGCAGUGCAAGGAAAGUGGUUCAAAAAAAAAAAAAGAAGACAAGAGCCGACAAAGGGAAGUUUCUCAAAUCUUUGCCUUUAUUUGUCUUGCUAGUGUGCAUAAAAUCUUGCCAUUGCUCUUCACAUUUUUUUCCUCCUAGGGUAAUACAUCCUGGUCUGAUUGAUUUUCCUUCCAAUAAAGAUCUUAGUCUGAUGAAUCAUUCUCCUAAGAUAAAAAGCCCUAGUCUGAUGAAUUUUCUCCUAGGAUAAAUGUCUUAGUCUGAUGAUUUUUUCUCCUAAUAUAAGAAAACCUAGUCUGGUGAAUCUUUAUCCAAGGAUAAACGUCUUAGUCUGAUGAAUUUUGCUCGUAAGAUAAAACAACCUAGUCUGAUGAAUUUUCUCCUAGGAUACACAGUCUUAGUCUAAUGAAUCUUUCUCCUAAGAUAAGAAAACCUAGUCUGAUGAAUUUUUUCCUAGGAUAGAAAUCUUAGUCUGAUGAAUAUUUCUCCUAAUAUAGUAAAUUAGAAAACCUAGUCUGAUGAACUUUCUCCUAGGAUAGACGUCUUAGUCUGAUAGAUCUUUCUCCUAAGAUAAGAAAACCUAGUCUGAUGAAUUUUUUCCUAGGAUAGAAAUCUUAGUCUGAUGAAUCUUUCUCCUAAGAUAAGUAAACCUAGUCUGAUGAAAUUUCUCCUAGGAUAAAAAAUCAUAGUCCGAUGAAUCUUUUUCCUAAGAUUUAAACAAAAAAAAAAAUUCCUAGUCUGAUGAACUUUCUCCUAGGAUAGAAAUCUUAGUAUGAUGAAUUUUCUCCUAGGAUAGAAAUCUUAGUCUGAUGAAUCUUUCUCCUAAGAUAAGAAAACCUAGUCUAAUAAAUUUUCUCCUAGGAUAUAGAAAUCUUAGUCUGAUGAAUCUUUCUCCUAAGAUAAAGAAAAAAACCUAGUCCGAUGAAUUUUCUCCUAGGAUAAUUUAAAAAAAAGGUCAAUUUCAGUUUCUUUAAGUUGUUAACCUUAGUUUUCCUUUGGUUUAGGGGUCCCGCCUGAAAAAUAGGGUCAGUUUUUUUAGUUUUCUUAAGUUGUUAAUCUUUAGUUUUCCUUAGGUUCAGGGGUCCCGCCUGGAGAAUGGGGUCAGCUUUUAGUUUUUUUUAAGUUCAGGGGUCCUGCCUGGAGAAUAGGGUCAGUUUUUAGUUUCCUUAUGUUAUUAGUCAUUAGUAUUUCUUGAGUUUAGGGGUCCCGCCUGGAAAAUAGGGUCAGUUUUUAGUUUUCUUAAGUCGUUAAUCUUUAGUUUUUCUUAAGUUCAGGGGUCCCGCCUGGAAAAUAGGGUUAGUUUUUAUUCUAGUCAAGCUCAGUUUAUAGUUUUCCUUAGGCUCAAUCUCACAUCUAGGAGACGCACUUCCUAGUUUGAGUUAUUCAGUUUCUAGGAGAUGCACUUCCUAGUUCAAGUUUUACCCCUAGGAGACGCACUUCCUAGUCUGGGUCUUUCAGCUCAUUCUUUUAGGAGACGCACUUCCUAAAUUGAGAUUUCACUUCUAGGAGAUGCACUUCCUAGUUUGGGUAGUUUGAAUUUAUCCCUAGGAGACGCACUUCCUAGUGCAAACUGGGGCAGAAAAUUUUAUUCGUUUUGUUGUUUUUGUUGAAGGCACCCACCUGGAGAACGAGAAAAUUUAUUUCAGAGUUAUUUCAAGUUUCGAGUCAGUAGCAGGCGCCUACCUGGAGAACGAGGGAAGUCAUUUCAGAAUUCACUUCAAGUUUCAAGUCAGUAGCAGGCGCCCACCUGGAGAACGAGGGAAGUCAUUUCAGAAUUCACUUCAAGUUUCAAGUUAGUAGCAGGCGCCUACUUGGAGAGCAAAGGAAGUCAUUUCAGAAUUCACUUCAAGUUCGAGUCAGAGGCACCGGGAGCCCGCCUGAAGAACAGGGUCAACUUUCAGUUUUCAAGUUCAAGUCAGAGGCAGCAGGAUCUCUCCUGAAGAAUAGGGUUAACCUUCAGUCUUUUCAAUUAAAAUCAGAAGUAGCACAAGCCGCCUGAAGAACAAGGUUUGCAAGCUCAAGUCUACUCCAAGUUCAAGUCUACUCCAAGUUCAAGUUUAUUUCAAGUGCAAGCAGCAGGAUGCCAGCCUGAAGAACAUGGUCAAUUUCCAGUUUUCUUCAAAUUCAAGUCAGCGGGAUGCCCACCUGAAGAAUAGGGUGAAUUUUCAGUUUUAUGUUGAAGGAUCAAGUGAAGAUUCGAGGAAGAUUCAAGACAAGAAGUAGAUAGGAUCUUGUAUUUUUCUUUUAUUUUGCUGUAAUUUUUGCUUUCAAUUUAUGAUGUAAAUGGCAGGGACCACGAACCGAAGCCUCGAUGGAACCUCACUCAACACUCCAACUCAUCAUUCCAUCACUCUCCUUGAACUACACGCGACCUGAUUCCUUUAUAACCCGGGAUAUGUAGGCUGUCCAAAACCAGCACUUGGUUGCACCCUUUUUUUUAUUUUCUUCCUCUUUUGAAUAACGAUAUAGUCAAAAUUAGUCACACGGUUCAUUUUAUCUUUGCCUGAAAACUCUUCAUGUUUCCAAGCAAAGAGGGGCAGCUGUGAGCACGUAAUUUUUGACCUUACAUGAUUUUUUUUACCACCUAAAUUCAAAUAGCUUUUAGGUUUAAUUUAUAUUUUAGAUUUUUAUUUUUUUACUUUUUAGUAAACCUCGCGAGAUAAAUAGAAAACAACAAAAAUAGCCGCAAUUUUACAUUUUAAUUGUGUUCCCAUUUUCAAAAGAAAGAAAACGUUCCAAAAAAUAUAUUUUAACGAGUCUACUUUUAUUUUUUAAGUUAAGGAUUUUCAUAAAUGAAAUUUGAGUAGUUAGCAUUUUUAUCUAUAUAUAUUAAUCAAGUAGGAGUAAUAUUUUUAUUUUUAUUAAAAAAAAAAAGAAAGAAAAAAAAAAGAAAAAAGCAAAGAACGUGAAAGGAAAAAGUAAAGAAAUCAAAGAAGAAAGAAAAGAAGGUGGAAAGAGAAUCGGAUAGUUGUAGUUGUAAUUCCCCUUACGUGGCCCCCCUAUAUUUUGUCCUUCCUUAAUUCUCUUAUUUUUUAGUGGGUCCCAUCCCCUAAAUUGAUUUUCCUCCAUAUCCUCUCUCAAAAUCACGUGCUCACCUUCGAUCCAUAACAGAAUUUGAUUGCUUUUGAUCAUUUUGUUUUUGAGGGGACCACACAUUUUUAAUAUUCUUUUCUUGUUCUCCAAGCCCAUUAAUCUGGUGGGAGUUCUACAUAACAAAGACACACACUACACAAAGGAGAGAUAGUGAGAGCAGGGGAGAGUGAACGAAAAACAGAGUGGGGGAGGACGAACAGGAACAGAGCACGAAUUAUGAGAGUAGUGAGAAAUCCCUAGCGCCUCAGGCUCGACCAGUUCAUAUCAUCGCUGCAUCUUCGUCAACCCAACACCUCAAAACCACCAACUCAUCUAUUUUUCACCAAAAAGCCACUAUUAUGUUAUUCUUCUCUCCAUUAGAACCACCAUAGCAGAUCUAUUUACACCACCAGUAGACUGUCGUCUCUUAGCCUUCCCUACCAUGAAUACCCAGUCGCAAUCUCGGUAAAACCUCAAAUAAAACCCAAACACCAACAAUUUGUUUUCCAGCUUUCAUCAUUAUCGAGUUUCGAGUUUUCCGGCAAGGUAUCUAAAUGAAAGGUAUUCGUGUCAGUGAGGUUUCUGGUUCGAGGACCGUCCGGCGUCCGCGGUUUAGGUUCCAAUCGUCGUUGCUUGCUAUAGCAAUUUUGCAUCCAAAUAGACAUUGUAAAGUUGGACACUCUCGUUAAUGGCAAAGCUCUGUUUGAGAUCCAUUUCUUACUUUGAUUUCUAAAUGUUCUCUAUGUGGUCCUAUUAUCAAUCGUUGAUGAUUUAUAAUUGUUCUGCUGUUUCAUUUUUUGUUAAAGAUUUUCUUGAUUGGAUUCAUUUUGUUGAGUUUUCAUUUGAUACGUUAUUUGGGUACAGACAUGGAUUAGUUAGUUUUUUAAAAGGGUGAAUGCAUGUGAUUUAUUGGGUCAAUUGUUUUGGAAUAAAAAUUCUCCGAGAGCAUAAAAUGAGUCAUGACAGUAAUUAGAAUUAAAAGUAAGUUUUGGAUUGCGAGUUAAAAAUAAAUUUGGACUUGGCUAUAUUUUGAGAUCAGGCUUGAAGUAAUUUUAUUGCUCUUUUACUUUAUCUCUCAGUAAUUGGAUCGGCUGGAGCAUGUUUUGGUUUAAAAUUAGAUUUGGGGCUUUGGUUAAUAAUGAAAAGGAAUUCGAGCUUAAGAAAGAUUAUGUUAUUCUCUUGUUGCUUCUCAUUUAAUUAUUCGGGUCGUUAGGAGCAUACUUAGGAAAAUAAUCACUUAUGAACACCAUAGUUUGCUUUAGGCGCGAUUAAUGAAUUAUCGUGGCCAUGGGUAUGGUUCCCGUAGCAUGGUCACGAUACGUAAAUCCCAACUCAAGUGCAUGUUUCACGUGACUUGACCUCAACUUCAAAUAAUAAUAAUAAUAAUAAAUAUGUUGUAAAUCGCAGGUGCAUUUCACGUGGCACGAUUCACAAUAUAUACAAAAACCAACGAGUGCGCAACAUCGCGACUUGUUCAAACAAAUCCCAUAAAUACUAAAAGCGAUAGAAUUAAUUAAAAGCGGUUAGAAUGUUAAAAAUACAUGAUAGGUUUUAAACAUGUAAUAAAUCAGAUAAUUAGGCCAAUUAUUAAUAGUUAAGUGACCGUGCUAAAAUCACGGAAUCCGGGAGUGCCUCACACCUUCUCUCGGGUUAAUUCUUGUUUUCGCAGACUUUCAAACAUUGUCAAAUUUCCUCGAUUUGGGAUUUAAAAUAAACUGAUGACUUGGGACACCAUAAAUUAUUCCAAGUGGCAACUCUGAUUAAAUAAAUAAUUUUAUUUCGAUUAAUGUCACUUUAAUUGGAAACAUUUCCUAUCCCUCAGGAAAAAGGAGGUGUGACAGUACUAUGCAGAUGUGCAUCGACUAUAGGCAGUUGAACAAAGUUACCCGGGAAGGCCAAUGUGGUGGUCGAUGCCUUGAGUAGAAAGGCGGUGAGUAUGGGCAGCCUUGCAAUUAUUCUGGUAGGUGAGAGACCGCUUGCAUAAGAUGUUUAGGCCUUGGCCAAUCAGUUCGUGAGAUUAGAUAUUUCGGAGCCCAGUCGGGUUCUAGCUUGUGUGGUUUCUCGGUCUUCCUUAUAUGAUCUCAUCACAGAGCGUCAAUAUGAUGAUCCCCAUUUGCUUGUCCUUAAGGAUACGGUUCAACACGAUGAUGCCAAGGAGGUUACUAUUGGGGAUGAUGGGGUGUUAUAGAUGUAGGGUCAGAUUUGUGUGCCCAAUAUAGAUGGGUUACAUGAGUUGACUCUUGAGGAGGCCCACAUUCAUGGUAUUCCAUUCAUCCGGGUGCCACAAAGGUGUAUCAAGACUUGAGGCAGCAUUAUUGGUGGAGGAGAAUGAAGAAAGAUAUAGUGGGGUUUGUAGCUCGGUGCCUAAAUUGUCAGCAUGUGAAGUAUGAGCAUUAGAGACCGAAUUUCUUUAGAGGCUUGAGAUUCCGGAGUGGAAAUGGGAACAUCGAGGAAGUUUGAUGCUAUUUGGGUGAUUGUGGAUCGGUUGACAAAGUUCGCGUAUUUCAUUCCAGUUGGGACUACCUAUUCUUCGGAAUGGUUGGCUGAGAUCUACAUCCGCAAGAUUGUUUGCCUUCACGAUGUGCCGGUGUCCGUCAUUUCAGAUCGGGGCACACAGUUUACAUCGUAGUUUUGGAGUGCAGUGCAGCGUGAGUUAGGCACACGGGUUGAGUUAAGUACAAUAUUCCACCUCAAACGGACGGACAGUCCGAGUGCACUAUUCAGAUAUUGGAGGAUCUCCUACCGCUUGAGGGUUCUUUGGAUCAGUUUCUGCCGCUUGGGGGUUCUUUGGAUCAGUUUCACGGCCACUAGUGCCAAUGAAAUGAACGAUAUACAAAAGAUUACGAAAUAAGUGGUAAAUCCUUUUAAUAGUAAAUGCUUUGGGAGUAUCGAUUAGCUACCGAGGAAGGGUAGGUCAAAAUAACCUAACCCCGAAACUACAUGUGCCGGUGUAGGGGUGAUUGAGGGGUAAAUCCUCGUGUUAAUAUGAUAAGAUUAUUUCCCCUUAUAUGGGAUGAGAUUGAUGUGUUGAUUUGUUUCCCCUUACAUGGGAUGAGAUUAUUGCUGGCGAGAUGUGAUGUGAUGUCGACCCACACGGCAUUGUGGCGAGAUGGCUUAGCCGGUCGGGCUGAGAUCGGAUGUCAUGCCGCGCACAUGGUGGUAUUGUGAGUGGAUGUAUCGGGGUGAGACGGCUUAGCCGGUAGGGCUGAGAUCGGACUCUGUUCUAAAACAUGGUGGUGUAUCGGUGCUAAAGAUCUCCCAACUUAAAAAGAUUGGAACUUACUUGAAAUUGCCUUUCCCCUAACUUGACACCUUGUUACUAUUUGAUUCUCUUAUUGAUUUCCUCUUUCCUUCUCUGUUUGCUGUUACUCGUUCUAUUGAGAGGGUGUUUAGUUUUACAUACUAGUACUAUUCCAUAUGUACUAAUGUCACUUUUGUCGGGGCACUGCAUCUUUAAUGGAUGCAGGUGGUAUUGAUUAGUGAUAACAGCAUACCCUCUCCCCAACUGACUUGGUGAGCCCCACUUUAUUUCGGGGUCCUGUAUCUCUUGUCCUUUGUACAUAGUAUUUGAGGUAUAGCCGGGGCCUUGUUGUCGGCACUGUCGUAACAUGAUUCUUUUGUUUCUGUUUGAGGCUCCGUAGAUAUAGCGUGGGUUGUAUCUAUUUUUGGGNNNNNNNNNNNNNNAAUUAAUNAAAUGUAUUCUUCUCUUUAUUCAUGGGUGAGUUGGGUAGAUGACACUGUGCAUGCUUUCUCGACCGGAUUAACUCUGUUGAGCGUCGGUCGCGCUCCCCGAGGUCGGGGCAUGAUAGAAGUAUAAGCUAAUCAUCUAUUGAAUUGUGAGAAUCGAUAGAACCUCAAGAGUGAAAUAUAACAGUAUCAUAUCCAGAAUAACAUUCUUGCACCUGUCAUAUCAAAACCCUUAUUUUAUCACAUUGAUAAGAAACCAACUCUGAUAAUCUCUAAUUCUUUGCAAUCAAUUGCCAUUUGCUUUACAUCGUAGUUUAUAAUCAUUCCAAAUCAAGUUUUGAUCAUCCUGAAUAGCAGUUAAACUAGAAAUUACUAGAGCAUUCUUUAAAUCUAAUCCAUGUGGAGACGAUAAUUUAAUUAUACUAUCUUUGGCUAGCGAGCAUCAAUUUCGUGUUGUAUUUUGCGCUCAUCAACAGGGUACUCACCAGGUUACUGAUAGAGUUCUGGGACCUGACCACGGAGGUUUUCAAAUUCGUUGAUUGUGAGUUGACGUCAACACUUGAGGAAGUUACUAGUUUCACUGAGUUUCCAUUCGCCGGACGGAAGCCUUUAAUGCCGAUCGUCAUGCCAGGCCACAGGUUUCUCCACGCACUGGGUUUGAAGAGUAACAAUAAUUUAAGAAGUGUCGAAGACGGAUGGGUGAGUUUGGACCAAUUGUUUGACAGAUUUGGACAUCGGUAGAGCUACGAUUGGUAUAUUGAGGAAUUUCAAUAUGACUAAGCAACAUGGGAGAUCCUUCGCCCCCUGACCUUUUCUUUAGCAAUGUUGGGACUUUUGGUCUUCCCACAAAGGAAGGGGCGGAUCAACAUUAACAUACUACCCCCUGGUAUUGGCUACAUUCUGAGGGAAUCUGCGGGUUACUCUUUUCCCAAUGCAAUUAGUGGAGAUGUUCAGGGCAUUUUCUGUAUGUUCAAGAGGAUAUGAUUUCUUCAAAGGUUGUAACCUACUGCUACAGAUUUGGGCGUCAAAGCAUUUCUUCCAAAAGGAGUCGACCAUCGACCACUUUGUCAGCACUAGCAACAUGGUCUGCAGUCACGAAGAGAGGAUGAGGCAUUGGGAAAUACCACAAGGUCAAGAGGAAUAGCGAGAAUUCCUGACUCAGUUAACUGGAGAAUUUAUCAACUGGAAACUUUCUUGGUUAAGCGGCAGAGCAAUCGUAAGAGUUCUAGAGAAGUAUUUCAUCUAGCUGAUGGGGUUGGAAAGAAUGCAACCAUAUGCACCGCUGAGGGUCCUAAGGCAGUUUGGUUUGAUUCAAGAUAUACCCAUUUGGUCCUGAAUGGCUAUGUACGAAGACGACUACAAUGGGCAAGUACCGAUUCCGAGAGUCAGAUAGCUUCAAGAUGAGUGGAGUCACCUGGUCACAAUGGGUAUAGGGCAGAACUCAUGGGAAGAUCCCGAAGAAGACCCAGAAGAGGAGAGCUUGGGAGGAGAUUCCGAGGAUGACUAUUAAGUUGUUAGUUGAUUUCCUUCCUGUACUUUUAAUUCCCUAAGGGCGGUUCUAUAAGCCCAUGCAAUCUUUGUAAACCCUAGAAAACCAUAUUGUAGCCAUUGGCAACUACCCCCACCUUUGUAUCAGUAAUGAAGCCCUUGUGACCCACUUGUUACCAGCAAAUUCCAUCCAUGAAAAAUAAAACUUGCCUCGGAUCCGAAUGUGCCAGAAUCUGAUUGUUUGUCGAACACUCGCGAUAUAGGCCUAUCUCCGAUAAAGAGAGGUCCUUAAAUAUUUUAGGAAUGCGCUUGUUUGAAUAUGUGAACUAACUGCUCUAUGUGAUUUAUGCAAUCCCUGAACUAACUUCUGCUUUUCUUUGCUUUCCCGUUUUAUCGCUUUAUUUAUUUAUCCCAGAAACAUAGGUUGAUUUAGGUUGAUCCGAGCCACCGUAUAACCUAAGGUCCAAAAGGAAGAUGACUACUACAGAAAAAAUGCCCAGAAAUGCUCUAGUGGUAGUUGACAAAGCCAGGGGAUCAGGGGGGAGGGACGAAACUCGGAAUGAUAAACAUGUUUCCCGAAUGGAACAAGAGAUGGAGUCAUUAAGGGAGGAGGUACAACAGAUUAGGGAGCUGGUACAUAUAGCCGUGACGACGCUUCCACAACCACCUAGUUUUUCAUCACUAGAUUCAGUCCCCGACCACUUUCCUUUAUCAACCCGGCAACCUACUAAUACCCAACUGCUAUCACCACAAACCCCGCCAUAACCCAAGUUAUACCGCCAGUUACCCCCACCAAUCCGCCAAACCCUCCCAUACACACACCUCAUGUUUCCAACUAUGUUCAAGCUCCACAAAAUAUACCAACCACCGCCAAUCUGAUCCAAAUCCCUCCUCGUGACAAUGUCACUUUUACAGAUGCCCAUACGUAGUAUAUACCUGCAACAUACACCACUAUCUAUGAGCGAUAUGUUCCACCCAUAUAUACUGCAUCAGAACCUACUUUUACCUUGCCCGUCAGAGUCAGAAUUCCUUAUGAGAUAGACCAGUAUGCUGAAAUAGAGAGAGAAGCAAAGUCCAAAGAAGGUGAGUCGUUGUCUGAACAACUACGGGUACUAAGGAAACAUAUGAAGAACUUGCAAAUUUCUCGAGGGAGAGAGAGCUUGGAUUAUGAAGACCUAUGCAUACACCCUGAUGUUGAUAUGUCGGCAAGGUACAAGCUUCCGAAGUUUGAUAUCUUUAAUGGAACAGGUGAUCCCCACACUCACUUAAGGGCAUACCGUGACAAGUUGGUGGGAGUGGGAAGGAAUGAGAAGUUAAGGAUGAAAUUGUUCAUCAGAACUUUGACUGGGGAGUCGCUCACUUGGUACACCAGACAGGACCCCAGAAACUAGAGAGAAUGGCAGGACAUGGCGGAAGAUUUUAUGAUCUGCUUCAGAUUUAAUACUGAGAUCACCCCAGACAUAUUCGCUUUGGUAAAUCUACAGAAGAAGCCAUCUGAAUCAUUUCAAGAGUAUGCUCAUCGUUGGAUAUCAGAAGCAGCUAGAGCACAACCCCGUUGGAUGACAACGAGCUGACCAAGUAUUUUAUUCGUGCUCAAGAAGGAAUCUACUUCGAGAAGAUGAUGGGAAUGAUGGGCCAUAAGUUCCCCACCUGGUCAAAAUAGGAGAUUUCCUGGAAGAAGGUAUUAAGUCUGGAAAAAUACAAUCAAUGGCCUCGCCAUAGGCUGCUAGAAAGGCUAUACAGUCCGGUUUCAUCGGCAGUGGAAAGAAGAAGAAAGAAGAAGUAAAAGCAAUCAUCCCCUAUUAUCAGCCAAGUCCUCCUCGUCGAACCAAUCCCUACCCCGCAAGUACCCAUCCUCCAAACCAGCCUACUUAUACCCCAGUAUAUAAUGCCCAACCAUACUACAACACUCAACCCCACUACAACCCACCCCGAGCCAAUAUACAUCCAAACCCUCCACGGCUAUAUGCUCCCGUUCAAACCACCACCCACCAAAAUAGACCCACAUAUGCUCCCAUACCUCGUCCAAACUUUGAAGCAUGAAACCCCAGAAAUUUCACCCUAAUUGUUAAGCCUAUAGCCCAAUUAUUUGAGAGGCUGAUAAGAGCCGGACUGAUAUACCCAACUGAAGGAAGAAUCGCUGACCAACCCACCAAGUACUUCGAUGGAAGCAAGCGUCGUGCCUAUCAUUUAGGUGUUCCUGGACAUGACACCGAGGAUUGUUAUGGUUUGAAAAAAAAAGUGAAAUGUUAAUUAAAAGUGGAGUUAUCCAAUGCACCCCAGACCCACCAAAUGUAAACCAUAACCCACUACCAAAUCACAGAAACCAAGGAGCCAACAUGAUUACCUUGGAGGAGGACUACGACUUAAAAGAGACUAUUGUUACUAUUGGGAAUGCCGAAGCAGCAAGAACACUCCCUCAAAUAGCCCCACUGAUCACAGUACAACUAAAGCCACUAGUAAUGGUUCAGACAUAUCAGCAAUGGCCUGUCAUAGCCGUUAGAGAGGAUGGCAAUCAAGAAUAUAAAGCGGCUCCAUGGACUUAUCAGUGAAAAGGAAAAAAGAAAGAAUAACAGAUACCGCGGCUGAUAGGAUGACUAGGUCAGGAAGGUGCUAUGUUCCAGAAGAAGUGAACUGAGAAAAUUCGAAUAGAGAAUAGAAUCAGAGGAGAAACAUAACUGAUGUAGAGGAAAUAGAGUUUUGAAGAAUGAUGCCGAUUAAAGAAUACUCCAUAGAAGAGCAGCUGAUAAAGACCCCUGCCUACAUAUCAAUUAUGGACUUGUUGAUGAGUUCCGAUAGUCACAAAGACGCUCUGAUAAAGGUGCUGAGUAGGGUGAGCGUGCUAGAAAAAUACCACCAGUGAGGCACUGGCAGAAACCAUUAGGAAGAUGGUGGAGGCAAACAAAAUUUCAUUUUGGAGGGACAAACUUCCUGUGGAGGGGAUGGAUCACAACAGGGCUCUAUGCAUCACUGUCAAGUAUGGAGACAAAGUCUUAUCUCAGGUGCUCAUCGAUGGGGGAUCUAGAGUAAAUAUUUGCAUGUUCUCCACUCUGCGAGAAUUAGGAAUCCAUUUGAGAGAAGUAAAAGUGAGCCACGUGAGAGUGAGGCCUUUUUAUGGGUCGCAUAAAGAUGUCAUCGGAAAAAUCUACCUAGGAUUGCAAAUUAGACCCGUUAAAUUCCACAUAUUAUUCCAAGUGAUGGAUAUUUCUUCUUCAUACAAUCUACUACUAGGAAGGUCCUGGAUACACAUGGCGCUGGCAGUUCCUUCCACUCUCCAUCAGUGCAUAUUUCCAGGAAAUUAUGAUACAUGGGAAAUGAAGUUGGUCAGCUUACUUAGAACAUGCGGUUCCUUUUAUAAAAGGUUUGGAUGGGGUCACUUUCCAUGUAUUCGAGAUCAUGCAAGCAAUAGAAAUGGAGAAGAAUGAACAGGAUCACAACAUGCAGUCACUAUAUGGAUCAAGAAUGGCAAUGCGAGAAAUGAUGAAGUAUAGAUAUAGACUAUGGUCCGGGCUAGGAGCCCGAUCAGAUGGAAUAACUGAGCCAAUUCAACCAAAGGGGCAGAAAGGUACCGUCGGCUUGGGAUACCAACCUACAUCUUGAAGAACCUCCAAUGAUAACCCUGGGAAGAAAGUUUUCAUACAUAUUGUGAUAUCUUAGAAUCCACCUUAUGGCCCUUGAUACUGUCAGCACUUUUAAUAGUCCAUAUGUGAUGAUCUAUCCCUAUACUCUAUAUUCUGAUAAGAGUAUUCCAAGGCUGAUAUUGUGUUGGUUCUUAGCUGAUUAUACUUUUUAUACUCUAAUGAUAGUUGCAAUGUCUAGUAUGGCUGUGUGUUUCCCAGGUGUUGAUACUUCUGUGUAGCUGAACCUCUAAAAAGUUUAUGAUGAACCUUUUGUACUUACUUUUUUCAUGCUGACAAUGUGAAACUGCUAAGUUGACACUUUGUUUGUGUCCAAACCUUUGAGGAAGAGUAAGGGUUUAUAAUCAAGGGUAUUUGUGUGUGAGCUUGGUUUGUGUUUGAGGUACCCCUCCGUGGCACAAGCACUGCUCGGGGUCCGAGACUCUCGUGAACUCUGAAGUGUCAGGGGUCCAUAGGGGUACUUCAUCCAUAAUGUGGUUUACCCUAAGUCUUUGGUCACUGACCUCAAUUAAUCCUCAUAGGGUUAGCACAAAUUAAAUUGACCUUACUAUAUUCCUUAGCUCUUUAUUGUUGUUAUUACUUGUUAUGAUUUUGUCUUACUCAUUCUGUAUUGAUAUACACCAAUUAUCCUCUCUUCUUUUGUAUGCAUAUUCAAUUGGGCCUGCUGAGUCAUCUGAAACUCAGGCCCAAGUUCAAGAAACUGAGCCACUUCCUCGUCACCUAUUGAGUCCGCUGCUGAUUUGAAUUUCGCAGGGCCUGGUAUGCUUGCCAGCCAAAUAUCAAGAGUCGAGCUUUCCUUCCUCUCAUUUUUAAAUGAUAGUUGUUAUUAUUUGCUGCUUCUAUGUAUAUAUCUUUGAAAACUAACCUUAUUAUUAGAUAUCCUUUAGUAUCUGGAUUUUUUAGAAAAAUUAGGCAAACGAAGACUCAUAGGUAAAAGGUUAAAUUAGAUUAUAAGGUUCACAUGAUUUAAUUAGUUUAACAUUUUGAACAUUAAUAGUUUGAGACUAACCAUUUAAUAAACAAACAGCUUUAUUUGUGUUUACUACUAAUGAAUUUCGAUGAUCUUAAGCUUUGGUAGAUUCGAAAAUGAAAACAAAUCCUCCUUGGAAAUCUUCAAAUGAAUCACAUAUACAGCCGAGCCUACAAGGAACAACACAAAUGAGUUUGAAAACACAAGGCCUUCUACUAGAAUAGUUUCUCCUAAAACAAAAUAAGGUAUAUCCGUUUUCAAAUAAAUAAUAUAUCUUCAAGUCAUCUCUCUUCUUUUUACAAAUUAUAAAGACUCACAAAUAAGUAUCAUAUUUUAAAAGGAGAUACAUAACCUUUUUUCAAAAAUGAGCUUUCAAACAAAACUUAAAACUUUUUAUAAAGUCUCACUCAGUAAUUUCAACAAUAAUCAACCAGAAUAUUGACAUUUCUUUCCCCGAACCUAGCCUAUGUUUAAGGAGCUACCGCAGGUAGAUUUUAAGGGAUGCCUAACCCCUUCUCCUUAGAAUAACUAGAACCCUUACCCAAAUCUCACCGGUUAGCAGGCCAUUAGGAUAAUAAUUUUUACAGACUUAUAGGUACCCUAAUAUACCUCAAAUAUUAGAUGGCGACUCUUUUCAUCAACUUUAGAAAAACCACUAGUUGUAUUUUUUUUUUUGACCAGUGCAAAAUAGGGUGCAACAGAGCAGAGCACAUACACUCUCUUAUCCCCUUUGUAUUUAUUAAAUCAUCUUCGCAUCCAUUCUUGCUUUGCAUGAUUAAUACCAGUGUUUCCAACUACCUUAUCACUACUCAGAAUUUUGUUGCAGCCGCCGCAGUACCAAUCACCUCUACCUCUUUUCUUUUAUCAUCCACAUGAUCCUCAGCUUUUUUGUACACCUCAGGAUGUAGGAUCCAACAUUCAAUCUCCUUGUGUCCCUUGCUUCUUGCAUGUCUUGCAAUACUUAGGCAUGGAAUCAUACUUUAUUUUGAUUUAUUUAUACUCCUCAGGCCCCGUUUCACCCUCUUCUUUAAUAAUUUUAACUCUCCGAUGGAGAUUAGCUAGUCCAUUGACUUCCACCUUCACCUUAGCAUAUCUAGGUCGUGUUCCAUUCUGUAUAGCCAUAUCAAUGUGUAAGUGAUGCCCAACUGCAUUGGCUAACGAAAAAUAUUCUCUUUUCCUAAGAAAUUAGAAGGUAAAUUUGGAAAAGAGAUCCACGCAAUGGCAAUAUGAGUUUCCUCAUCGGGUUUCCGCCAAAAGUUCCACUUCAUAUACUGAUGACGUCCAAAUCCACUACUAAAAAGUAAAUGGACUCGGUCGCAUGCAAUAUAAUUUACCCAAUUAUGAGUCGAGGUCGAAUCCCACAGAAAAUAAUAAUAUGUAGGUGAUUAGGCGUGUAAGAGAAUUAUCACUUAUUAUGCUAAGCCAAAUACUUAGAAUGAUUUUGAGAAAAUAUUUAUAACUAAUUGCGAAAAUUUAAACUAACCUAGAAAUCAAGUAAAAUGAACAAUGGCUACAAGCAUGGAUGCAUUGAAAAUUACACUCAAGUAACGAUCCAAUAUAUUUUACGAUUUUACAAAUAUGAGCGAGUUUAUGUUAAUUAGCCUUGGGUAAUAGUUCUAUAUUAGCUUUUUCCGAAGACUAACAAGACUUCCUAAUUGAAUCAUCCCUAAAACAAUUAAGAGAUUCAGCACACCCGAAUAUGGCUACAAGUAGUUCAAUCAUAUCCCUAGGUAGAAUCUAUAAAGUGAGGGUUAAAGCCUCAAGUUCUUGUUAAUUAAUCUCUCCCAACCCCAAAUUAUCUUUCCCAAAAUUAAUUCGAAGUAAAUGGGCGAGUCCUAGGGUUAGCUAAUCCCUUUGAAAAUAUUAAAGAAUAAGAAUAAUUAAAGAAAUAAUAACUCACUUCAUAAUAAAUAAAAAUCGGUCAAUACAUAAGUACAACAAGAUAUUUAAUCCACACUUUAAACAUGAAUAUUUUCAUAAACAAGAUUCAAGUGUUGGAAAAAAUACUACACACUUAAAUAUACAAUACAAAGCAAGAAAAUAAAGAAAUGAACAUAAAUGGGUAAGAAAUUCUCAACCAAAAGCUUCAAAUCUUUAAGAUCCAAGUGUGUGUGCAAGAACCCUAACUCCAAAACUUGUCUUCUCUAGUUAAGAGACUGAAAAAUAAGCCAAAGAUAUGCUUCCAAUAAGCUAGGUUGUGUAUUUGUGGAUUUGGAGUUGAGAAAAUAUGAAUUGUCAAUCUUGUCCAGGUCUGAAGCCCGUUGACCGCACCUGCGGAAGUAUCCUUGCAGGUGCGGCUCCGCAGAUGCGGAUAGCCUAUCACAGAAGAGAACUUUGAAGGGAGUACUGAUUACUAGAAGCGGACUUGCACGCGCAGAUGCGCAAGCGCAAAUGCGAACUUUGAGCGCAGAUGCGGUGAAUCGAUCGCAGAAGCGGUUUCUGCCUUCCAGGCCUUCUUCCGCAAGUGCGGCCAUUUCCUCGCGGAUGCGAGGUCGUAAAAGCGACCAGUAUUUCGCAAAUGCGAAAUCACUGAAAAAUUUUGCAUUGUUUCAACUCUUUUUUGCUCAAUUCCACUUCAAUUGAAUUCAACUCUCUUCAUGGCAUCAUUUACCUGAAAAUCUAGCAAUACACACCAUAAACAACCUCAUAUUAUAAUUAAAGGACACAAAAUCUAAAGAAAAGAGACUAAAAUAAGUGGUAAAAUCACCGCUCAUCAUAUACAUCAUCUGCCACACAUCUCCCUGUACUUUCAGGUAAAAGGCAGGCUUCGACAAAAGAUGCACAUAGUCCUCCAUUAAAUCAAAGCUUAAUCAGGACAUGCAUAUCCUCGAUUAAACCUAUCGACCAGGAGCCCUUCAAUUCACACUGGAUGGGGAUUGCUUUUCGAAGUUCAUGGAUCACUGGUUUUCCAUAUGAAAGACUUCCCUAGUACUACAAGUUGUAGUCCUUGUUGAUUAACAGACUGACAAACUUCUUUCUUUUUCUAUCGAAUCAUUGGUUCUCCGUGAAGAUAUUUGGCAAGUUUAUAGUUAUGUUAGGUAGGAUUUGCAUGAGAGUAUUUAAUGCUUGAGGUUUCUAGAGGAUUGUAUACUUUGGGAUUGGAUUCGAGUUUGUUGAUGGAUUUGCAGGAUGUAGGGAUGAUGAAGACGACUGACCAGCCUCCUUAGGAGGCUGGCCAGCGGUCACCAACGACAUUAGAGAUCAAGGUUUCAACGUGAUUUCGAUUCUCCUCCAAAAUCGCCGAAGCUAGGUUUUGCCCUUCUUCUAACUGAGAAUUAUCUUUGGCUCAAACUUGUUUAUUUUUUAAUACAUUAGGAAUGUUUCUUAUCAGUUGGAAUAUAUUACAGAUGUAGUUGAACUUUAGUGUAUAUUUUAGGGAUGUUAAAAACUCUAUAAAAGUUGCUUAACUUAAAUAGUAACAGGAGCAAAUUUGACCCCUUCUACCUCUCACAAAUGCAAUUAAAAUUUUUGAUAUUUUGAUAUAUACUUUUUACUAUAUGAAGCAGAGGCUCCUUAUAUAUCUACUCUCUACAUAUAAUGUUUUAGCAAUAUUAUUCUGUUUAUUGUAGCCUAAUUUAUAAUAUUUUAAGAUCACCUCACACUAUUCUCCAUGGAAGCGUUUUGAGUCAUAGUUGUACUGGAAUUACUUGUAAUGGUGGAUUGCAUUUGCAGUCACAGAAAUGGAGCAUGGAAGGAUGGACAGAAGAGUUCCAUGGGAGUCAUAGUAAGUACAAACCCGCUACUUUUGCGAUGCUAAUUUUCAACCUGAAUGUGAUCUCCCUUUAUAUACAAAUAACUUCACAUGACAUUGUCAGGCCUUCCCGAGGCUUUAGUUGUUCAUAAGACUUUUAAAUUGUUGGGUUGAUAUUAGCAAGGUAAGUCUGAUUAUAGAUUUCUUGCAAUUUUCAUGUUAUAUCUCAUUAAUGUUUUACUUUUUGAAGGCAUAAGAAAGAAAAAAAUUGUAUUGUAGUUAUUCCAAUUUCGCAGUUAAGAUUAUUCGUCUGCAUCCUAUUUUUCAAAAUAACCUGUUUCAAAUUAAAGCCAAGUCAAAAUAUAUCCCUCUUUGUACUAAAAGUAAAACCUCAUUGUGGAUUUAUUUUUGUUCAAUUUGAACAAUAUAUCAUGUGUUUCAUAGGCUCCUCUUCCAAUUUAUUCUCUUAAAGAUCUUGCACAUCGGAAAGAAGCAGUUCUGUGUGCUUAGAAUAGAGAGAAGACACUAUUACCAGCUUUUGUACUGUUUUUGGAAAUGAUAAAGAUGGAAUUACAUGCCUAUUAUCUUGGAAAGAAAGAGGGGGCAAUAGAGGCAAAACUACCUGUAUUCUUCAGAAAAACUUUCAAAAGGCUGGAGUCUUUAACUGUUUGUGCCUUUCUAUUAUCCUUGACAGAUCCUUCAUUAUAUUUAUAAGUAACUUUUCUAUGGAGACUAUUUAGCUUUCUAGAUGUUCACUUUAUUUGUAUCAUCAUUUGAGCUACGAGAAGAUAGUACUUGAUAUAUCAUAAGUAACCUAUGUUCACUCUUGAUUGGUAAUUUAGAUUAUCAGCUAUGACAUUUUUAAUUACUAGAGUAUCAUUUCACUCAGUGGUUUAUACAGUUGUUGAUUGGUGAUUGGGAAUAUCAACAAGAAAUGUUUAAUUAAGGAAUAGAAAAGUCAUAAUAGAGAAGACAACAACAAACAAAAAAGGAGCGAAAAAAAAUAAAUAGAUAAAAAAAAUGUAAAAUUCAAUGGAGAGACACUGCACCUUGCGUUCCCACUAUUUCCAUUGAUUUGUAUUCUUUCAGUUUUAACUUUCUUUACUUCUCAUUUCAUCUUCAUGUUAUUUGAAUGGAGGAAAUUUUUAGAAAGCCAACGUACAACUAUCUAAGUGAAAUAAAUAUCAAAAUACCUAAAUAGAUGUAUUUAAUAACGAGUACACCAAGAGAUUCAAAUUAUUAAAGUUAUACAUACACAUGCACACAAUUCUUUUUUAUUUUAUCAUUUUUCAGAAUAUGCUAAUGAGAGAUGCAAUUCAUCUAAAUUCUACAUCUAAUAGAAAUAUUUAUAUUUGUAACUUUAAUAAAAUAUAUAAAAUUAAUUAGCAUACAUAUACUUGAAAUUUUUCACAACUCUCGAGUAUAUGUAUAACAAUUUCAAUUCUAAAGUUACUAAUGCCUUUUACAAAAGCGCAAAGCACAAAUUACUUUACUAGUUUAAAUAUAGAAAAAGAUUGUUCUUUUAAAAUAGACCAAAAAGAAAAUAAUUUAACACGUGAAUGGAGGGAAUACAUGUUUUUCUCAAGAUCAAAAUAAUUGGGAAUAAUUGUAAGUGCUUUGAACUGAGAAAGUCAAAUGUAUUCGAGAAAAGAUACAUAGGAGGAAGAAAGCACCUAAGGAAGGAGGAAGGAAGAACGGCCAUUUAGCCGUUAUUUCAGCACUAUUGAACUCUUACACGAUAAUGGAGCAGCAAACCAAAACGCUAACCAAAGCAUUAAUCAAGAACUCCAGCAACCCCAAGCUGGCAUGGCAACUCUUCAAACGCACUCUCUCAACUCCAAAUCCUCCCCUCUAUUCAAUCCCUUCCCUAACCCGUAUCCUCCUCCAUUCCCAAAUGCUUUCCGAAAUCCACACACUUCACUCUUUCCUCCUUUCUCUAUCCCCUCAAAUCUCCCUUCCUUCUCAAUACACCCUCGUCAAGCUCGUAGCAACUUACGGAUAUAUUCAAGAUGCCAUUUCUCUCUUCAAAUCUACUCGCUCUCACUUACCUCAUCAACCACCACCCAAUGUAUCACUCUACAAUUUGCUUAUGCAUAAGUCUUUGAAAUUUGAUUGUCCGAAUUUCUUGUCUUGGUUGUACAAAGAUAUGAUUUCUGCUUGCGUUUCGCCUGUUACUUAUACUUUUAACCUUCUCAUUGGCGGGUUGUGUAAUUCGAAUCGUUUGGGAGAUGCCCGCCACCUGUUUGAUGUUAUGCGCGAGAAAGGGUGUCAGCCUAAUGAGUUUACUUUUGGGAUUUUGAUUCGUGGCUAUUGUGAAUUUGGGCUUCCUUUAGAAGGUUUGAAACUUCUGGAUAUGAUGAAAAUGAUGGGCGUUUGUCCUAACGUGAUAAUAUCCAAUACUUUGAUUGCCAGUUUCUGCAAGAAAGGUGAUGUUGAUGACGCUGAGAGGUUGGUCGAGAGGAUGAGGGAGGAUGGGCUUGUUCCUGAUGUUGUUACCUUCAAUUCUAGAAUUUCAGCUCUUUGUAACUCGGGGAAGAUUCUUGAGGCUUCCAGAAUUUUCAGGGAUAUGCAAAUAGAUGAGGUAUUCGACUUGCCAAGGCCGAAUGUUGUAACUUUCAAUUUGAUGUUGCAGGGGUUUUGUGAGAGAGGGAUGCUUGAAGAUGCGAGGACACUGACUGAGUCUAUGAAGAAAGAUGGUAUUUUCUUCAAUGUGCAGAGCUACAAUAUCUGGUUGUGUGGGUUGGUGAAGAAUAAAAAGAUGUUGGAGGCUCAAUCAGUGCUGAAAGAGAUGUCGGAGAAUGGAGUAGCUCCCACGAUAUAUUCUUAUAACAUUGUGAUUGAUGGCCUCUGCAAGAAUGGGAUGCUUGGUGAUGCCAAAAUGCUGAUGAGCUUAAUGGUAAGUGAUGGUAAAUUUCCAGAUACAGUCACUUAUAGCACUCUACUCCAUGGCUACUCCAUGAAAAGUAAAGUGACUGAGGCAAAGAAUAUUCUGCAUGAGAUGAUGAAGAGAGGCUGCAUUCCAAAUACGUACACUUGUAAUACUCUGCUUCAUAGCAUGUGGAAAGAAGGGAAAAUAUCAGAGGCGCAGCAGUUACUGCAGAAGAUGAAUGAGAGAGGUUAUGGCCUGGAUAUCGUGAGUUGCAACAUAGUGAUUCAUGGUCUCUGCCGAACUGGAGAAGUGGACAAAGCUGUCGAGAUUGUGAGUGAAAUGUGGAGCCACGGAAGUGCUGCGCUUGGUGAUCUUGGAAAGUCGUUUAUGAGCUUGGUUAAUGAAGAUGAUCAUGGGAGGAAAUGCCUGCCCGACUUGAUCACCUAUUCAACCAUAAUUAGCAGUUUAUUCAGAGAAGGGAAGCUUGAUGAAGCUAAGAAGAAGUUUCUUGAGAUGAUGGGAAAGAAGUUGUACCCUGAUUCAAUUAUUUAUAAUACUAUUUUACAUCAUCUGUGUAAAAGAGGAAAGGUAUCAUCUGCAUUUCAGGUUCUAAAGGACAUGGAGAAGAAAGGUUGUAACAAGAGCUUACGAACUUAUAAUUCUUUGAUACUCGGGUUGGGGAGCAAAAAUCAAAUAUUCGAAAUGUGUGACCUGAUGGAUGAAAUGCGAGAAAAAGGGAUUUCUCCAAAUGUUUACACGUACAAUAUCAUGACUAGCUGUCUAUGCAAAUCUGGGAGAACUGAAGAAGCAAUUUCUCUUUUGAAUGAAAUGUUACAGAAAGGAAUAAUUCCUAAUCUGCAUAUCUUUGAGUUGCUUAUUACAUCAUAUUGCAGGACUGGUGAGUUCAGACCAGCUCAGGAGGUAUUUGAUAUAGCCUUGAGUAUAUGUGGUCACAAGGAAGCGCUCUAUGCACUGAUGUUCAAUGAAUAUCUUGCUGGAGGUGAAAUCUUGGAAGCUAAGCAAUUACUGGAAACUGCAUUAGAUAAACGCUUUGAUCUAGGAAGCUUCCUUUACAAAGAUCUUAUUGACAAGCUUUCUAAUGAGGAGAAUUUAGAAGGUGCUCAUGAUAUUCUCACCAGGAUGAUGGACAUAGGAUAUGCGUUUAAUCCUGCAUCAUUCAUGCCAGUCAUUGAUGGUUUACGUAAAUUGGGUAAUAAGCAGGAGGCAGAUGAACUAGCGGAGAGGAUGCUGGAGAUGGUUUCAGAAGGUAAGGUGGGUAACAAAGCUUACCAAAACUAUAGGGAGUUAAAUCAUGCGAAGCGAAGCAAAUAUGGUGGAGAUGGUUGGCAGGCAAUUGUGCACAGGUAAGGAGUUUAAGUUCAUCUGCUUUAUCUUAGUUUUCCUUUUAUUCAGGCGGUCCUCUAUUAUUUGAGAAACUAGUCUUUCCUCCCCCCAAAAGUGAAUACGUUGAGUUUGCUAGGUUGCCCCUUUUACCUGGGAUCAUCUGUUUCACUAGCUAUCUAGUCUGGCUCUACGAGAUAAUUAUAUAGUUAUUAGGUUGUGGAACUUCCGAGUCUAUGAGAAACCAUGUCAUAUGUCAAUUUAUUUAAAGGAAAAAGUGGAGUCUUGUGGAUGAAGAAAAUGAAACGGAAAAGGGCCAAACUUCUGGUUAAUAGGGUCAUCAAAUAUGAGUGUAUAGUCUUAAAUUGGUAAGAUCAAGCCAAGUUUAGACACUCUCAUUCUCAUGGAUCGUUUUUUCACUUUCAUGUUUUGUCCUUUUCCAUUAAUUUUCCCAUAAAGUGAUAAUUUAUUGAUUGUGGAGAAGCCCUGGUAUACCAGUGGUAUAGAAAAAGUGGAGAACCUACAAGAGAAUGUGGUUCUCUCAAAAAUCAUAUCUUUUCCAUUAUUACGUCGUACCUUGACUAAAUUGUCAGUUCAUAGAUUAUUCUUUUUUAUUUCUGUUUGUUUUAUAAAUCUCCUUUUAUAGUCUAUCAUGUUUCAUGAAAUCUUCUUGACAAUCUAUCCUGUUUUGACAGAGACGAUGGAAGUGCAGCAGCCUUGAAAAAUUUGAAGCGGGUGCAGAAAGGAUGGGGUCAAGGAAGUGUAUCAAGUCUCCGAACUCCCAAAAAUGAAAUUCUGGAUGACUAGUAAUUAAUUAAGCUGCUAGUAAUUAAAUGUUCCUUUCUUCAUGGUCAAGGGUGGAGGUAGAAGGAGAGGUACGGGUUUGGCCAAACUCACUAGCUUUAGUACAAACCCUGUAUUUGUGUGAAGGAAUUUACUAAAUAUGUACAAAGAUUAAAUUCAGAACCCAGUUACUAAAGCGUGACGUCACUAUUCUAGAAUUUAAAACCCAUAAAGUUCAAAUCCUGGCUCUGCCUUUGUUCAUGGUCAUGGACUGCGAGUUUCGAGGGGAUUGGUAGCAAACCGUGGUUCCCUUGAAAACUUAAAAUGGAAAAUGCAGCCAGUUCAACGAAGCAUAUCUAGUUUCCAAGUCAUGAAAUGAUUAUCGGGGCCGACAAGGAUGCUGACCUCAUAAACGAAUGGAGUUCUGUGCCCAAUACAGAGAACGAAUCACUUUCUGCAGUUUAUCCAGUUUCUCAUUGUCACUUUUUUCCUAUUGGUCCAUGCACUGAUCUGGCCUUAAUAUCAUACCUUUGGACCUAUUUUAGUUUCAUUUUUAUUUCUUUGUUUUAUCCUUUUUUUUUUCUAUCAACUAAAGAGCCAGAGAUAUUUUGAUAGAAAAUGCAUACAUAAAAUUUAAAGCUUUGAGUUCUUUUACCAUGUAGCUAAUAAUGAAAGAACUCAAAAAUUUGUGUUCUUUUACCAUGUAGCUAAUAAUGAAAGAACUCAAAAAUUUGUGUUCUUCAAUUUUGACUGACCAGUUUAUUACUGAAGCACUAAAAACAUCUCUCCAGAUUACCUUCAUACCCAGAUUGAUUUUCUCCCCUGCAUAUUUGAUUUCUUCAAUAUUCUCUCCAGAUUGAUCCCUUUGUGCUCCACAUCACAAUCAACAUUUUUUUGCGUACUCUCUCUCUCUCUCUGCCAAUUAUUUGCAUGAUCUUUUUUUUUAAAAUCUCUAACAGAUGAAGGAGCUGCAGAAGCGAAAACCCCAAUUCGGGUCUGUAAGGCCGAGCCCACAUAACCACGGAACAUUGAUCUCCUGAUGACUGGAUCAACAUGUUUGUGCUGGUCCAUUGUAAGUUUUCAGUUACUUACUGCAUAAUUACGAUUAUGAAGCUACUUUACUUGAUCCCCCUCCCCCCCCCCCAAAAAAAAAAAAAAUCUUAAUUUUUCAUUGUUUGAAGACAACUUUUUGAUGAAAAGAGAAUAUCAGGUGGAGUUUUGGCGUCUCAAGUGUCUCACUUAUGUUUCCUUUCUCCACUUGUCCUUAACCUUUCUUUGUCUUCCCCAUUCAUCUCCAGCAGCUAAAGCUAACUGUGGUUGUUUGGUGAUGGAUAUCAUCAUAAUAGGCCAGUGUAUGGCAUAGAGGUUACAGUGAAAGAGAGGAAAGUUCAAUAUGAUCUGUCAGUCUUUAUGCUAUUAUUACAUUGAAAAUCAAUAGAACUUCAACAUAGUGUUCAUACCAAGAAGUUCAUGUCAAUCUCCUUAGCAAAAAUAUAGGCCUCUAUAGUGGAUCUACCUGGCAUGUUCUCUAUCACUCUUGUUGUGUCCCUAAGCCUACGCUGUAUCACUCUUUCCCAAGUUCCAUCAUAUGACCCAUUUUAUAUUAAGUAUCACGGUGAAAAAAAUUAAUUAAUAUUUAAGCACAUAAUCAACUUAAGUUAAUUUCUGAUUUACUUAAUACUUGACCCUAGGGGAUGAAUUCGUAUUUUUAAAGUAAUAGUCACACAACUCAACUGAGCUAAGCUCAGGCUCCAAGACUAAGAUAUUAUGGAAUUCUUUGUGAGGAUUGUAAAUGGACCUUGGUUGAAAAGUUCUCGAACGGCUGACCUCAAAUAGAAGAGAUUGGAUUGGAUUUCAUUGCCAAAGACAGAUUUGCAUUGGCCUCUUCAACUUGAGAUAUAUGUUUAUGUGUUUCAUGGAUAUCCGAUUAUAAUACAAUCUAUUUUAAGAGAUAUAUGGAGAUAUGUGGAUCUUUUUUUUUCUUCCUUAUGAUAAGGAUAUAUGGACAUGUGGAUCUAGGAUGUGGGUCUUUAGGUGGACGCCUGAUUUUGCUCUAGAAGAUCAAACUACAGUUAUCCCUGUUUGGGUACUCCUUCUAAAUCUCCAACAGCACCUAACCAGAUUAGAAGCCUUGAAGCAAAUCCUAGACCAAACCGGAACCUGUCACCUUAGACCAAGUAAUAGCCAGGAAUCUGGACCUAAAGUAGCUAAGGCACGACCAGAUGUGAACCUAACAAUGCCCCUUCAUGGGUAGAUUUGGAUUGGGGUAGUAGUAGAAGAAGAAGAAACGGAGCUGAAAGGCUUUCGGCAGAAGCUUGAAUACGUAGGACUAUCCAAAAUCUACAAAAAUUGAAGAUGUAAAUAUUGGCAUUCCUGGAAGUUUUAAUUUUAUUUAGAUUUGUUCUCAGCUGGGAACUGUUGUACCACAGUUGAGUGAAUAGCUUUCAAAGUCUAUUUGUGGAAGUUUUGGAAGUGAUUUGAAGUCUAGCUUCUCUUUGUGCUUUAGAUCAUUGUUAUCGUAAAUAAUAUUUCAUUAUAGAGCAUACACAUUGGAAAAGCACUUCUCUAUUUACUCUAAAACUACAUUUUCAUUUCACUCUCAAGCUUGAGCAGGAUAAUCUUCGUUCUCACAGAAAAUUGUUUACUUAUGAUGCAAGGUUGAGAACAUAGGAACCAGCUGUAAUCAGUGUCUACGGUAACUUCUCAUGUCUACCAUUCCAGAACCCAGACGUUGGUGUACUUUUUAGGAGGAAAAAUCAGCAAGUGUGGCAGAUAGAAAAGUGAAAAAUGAGGACAAAGAUGCUAAAGACCAGUUGAUGAUCAGUUUACCUUUCAGCCAGAAGAAAAGUGUCAUCUACAUUUUAAAGCAAAUAAGAGACAUGGUGAACAUAGAUAACACCAUUACUUGUGUGCAUGAUCCCAAGUGUAAAGGGUUGCGCUCGAAAUGUGGUGCCAAUAAUAAUGUACUUGAUGUGCGUGUCAUAUGCAAAGGGCGGAGUAAUUUUGUGGCACUCUUGGAGGAUCGAGAAAGCAAAUGCAGCAGAUCCUGAUGUCAGUCAUCAUGACAUCUUUGCACAGCUGAUUUUUGGUAGUUUACAACUCGAGGUUUUCACGUCUGUAUAACUGCUUGUUUUAGUAAUUGGUAUCAUGUGUCAGUUGCUGCUUUCAGCAAUUAAACUCUGCAAAGUCUUUUCAUUUUAAGAUCGGUCCUAUCUCUAACUGACGAAUUCAUCUUGAUGAAUUCAUUGACUAGUUGUGGCUAUGCUGAGUUGUUAAGAUGCAAUACCUGAUUCUUAUGUGUACCAAGAAGAGUAGAUUCUGGAAGGUAUGAUCGAGAUAUUUGUGACAAAGUGGUCUUUGAAUAGGUCACCUAUUUGAGGAUUGUAGGAUUCAUACGAGUUAAAAUCGAACCAACAUCUUUGGAAUCUUGAGAAUUCAGCUGCUACUUCAACAUCACCUCAUUGACUGGUACUGUGCAUUAUUGUAGAUACUGUAUUUCCUGCCCAAGCGUUGUAUCCAAUUAACACUUUUUCUUCGACUUUCGUUCUAUAUUUUUGAUUUGGUUUGGCUAGCGAUGAUUUUGAGCAUGAAAAUAUUAACCAAUUUGUUCAUACGGAAAAGGUCCAAAUAUGCCCUUAUACUAUACGAAAUUGAGCACAUUUGCCCUUCGUUAAUACUUUAGCUCAAAUAUACCCUUACCGUCACAUAGUUGGUCCAUAUAUGCCCUUAGAGUUAUACUGUUGGUCCAUAUAUGCCCUUUUCGAAACGGAAUUCACCCAAACUAAUUAACUCUUUCGUUAAUUGUAUUAAAGUGUACAAACACUAUUUCCUUUUUAUUAGUACUUUUUUUCUUUAUCUUUCUCUUUUCUUUCUUCUUUUUUAUUUUCUUCUCUCUUUUUUUUCCUUUUUCUUUUUCCCUUAUCCGAUUUCCUCCAUUACUGAUGUCUUCUUCAUUUUCAUCACCAAUUUCUCUUGACAAAACUCAUAAAUUUCAAUUACUAAGAAAAUUCUCCUAUAAGAAUAUUUUUAUAGAUCAUAUGUUUUUCAAUUUUGUAAUUUUUACUGAACAUAUAUUUAGUUAUAAAAAAUUUAACAAAUUAAGAUUGAAAUAAUAUUUAUGUGACAAAAAAUCCGAAAAUCCAACAAAACCGAACAAUUCAAACUGAUAUAAUUGGUUUGGUUUGAUUUUGAUAAAAAUCGAACCAACCCGUUCCAUGUACACCCCUAAUUUACAUAGUUAAUAAAAAAAUAGAAAAUGUCCAGCUGAAAAUUGACUAACAACUCAAAUUUAUAACACUACAACUUGAACUCCAGGCUUUUAAUCAUUAAAUUAUCUUUCUGGAAACAAGGUUGAGAUUUUUUUAUAUUAUUUUAAAGUUUAAACCAUAAUUUUUGGAAUAAUUUAAUUUCAUUGAUUUAGAGGGCCAGUGAAAUUGGAACUUGAUUACCUUAUGGGAGAAUUUUCUUAGUAAUUGGAAUUCAUGAGNNNNNNNNNNNNNNNNNNNNNNNNNNNNNNNNNNNNNNNNNNNNNNNNNNNNNNNNNNNNNNNNNNNNNNNNNNNNNNNNNNNNNNNNNNNNNNNNNNNNNNNNNNNNNNNNNNNNNNNNNNNNNNNNNNNNNNNNNNNNNNNNNNNNNNNNNNNNNNNNNNNNNNNNNNNNNNNNNNNNNNNNNNNNNNNNNNNNNNNNNNNNNNNNNNNNNNNNNNNNNNNNNNNNNNNNNNNNNNNNNNNNNNNNNNNNNNNNNNNNNNNNNNNNNNNNNNNNNNNNNNNNNNNNNNNNNNNNNNNNNNNNNNNNNNNNNNNNNNNNNNNNNNNNNNNNNNNNNNNNNNNNNNNNNNNNNNNNNNNNNNNNNNNNNNNNNNNNNNNNNNNNNNNNNNNNNNNNNNNNNNNNNNNNNNNNNNNNNNNNNNNNNNNNNNNNNNNNNNNNNNNNNNNNNNNNNNNNNNNNNNNNNNNNNNNNNNNNNNNNNNNNNNNNNNNNNNNNNNNNNNNNNNNNNNNNNNNNNNNNNNNNNNNNNNNNNNNNNNNNNNNNNNNNNNNNNNNNNNNNNNNNNNNNNNNNNNNNNNNNNNNNNNNNNNNNNNNNNNNNNNNNNNNNNNNNNNNNNNNNNNNNNNNNNNNNNNNNNNNNNNNNNNNNNNNNNNNNNNNNNNNNNNNNNNNNNNNNNNNNNNNNNNNNNNNNNNNNNNNNNNNNNNNNNNNNNNNNNNNNNNNNNNNNNNNNNNNNNNNNNNNNNNNNNNNNNNNNNNNNNNNNNNNNNNNNNNNNNNNNNNNNNNNNNNNNNNNNNNNNNNNNNNNNNNNNNNNNNNNNNNNNNNNNNNNNNNNNNNNNNNNNNNNNNNNNNNNNNNNNNNNNNNNNNNNNNNNNNNNNNNNNNNNNNNNNNNNNNNNNNNNNNNNNNNNNNNNNNNNNNNNNNNNNNNNNNNNNNNNNNNNNNNNNNNNNNNNNNNNNNNNNNNNNNNNNNNNNNNNNNNNNNNNNNNNNNNNNNNNNNNNNNNNNNNNNNNNNNNNNNNNNNNNNNNNNNNNNNNNNNNNNNNNNNNNNNNNNNNNNNNNNNNNNNNNNNNNNNNNNNNNNNNNNNNNNNNNNNNNNNNNNNNNNNNNNNNNNNNNNNNNNNNNNNNNNNNNNNNNNNNNNNNNNNNNNNNNNNNNNNNNNNNNNNNNNNNNNNNNNNNNNNNNNNNNNNNNNNNNNNNNNNNNNNNNNNNNNNNNNNNNNNNNNNNNNNNNNNNNNNNNNNNNNNNNNNNNNNNNNNNNNNNNNNNNNNNNNNNNNNNNNNNNNNNNNNNNNNNNNNNNNNNNNNNNNNNNNNNNNNNNNNNNNNNNNNNNNNNNNNNNNNNNNNNNNNNNNNNNNNNNNNNNNNNNNNNNNNNNNNNNNNNNNNNNNNNNNNNNNNNNNNNNNNNNNNNNNNNUAUUGAAGGCCCUAAGGCCGGUGACGUGGCGAUCCCAUUCAGCAGCAAAUCCCGUUUCCUGCCUCUACGCUUAAUUGCCAUUUUAAAAGUGAUAAUGCCCCGCGAAUAAAACCUCAAAAUACACAAACCCCUUCAGAUUCAUAACCGCUUCUUCCACACCGAUUAUCUACUCUCGAUUAUGUUUUGCAUUCUGUGUAAUCCUCCAUCUCUUUCACUUUCUCUAUACUCCUCCAUCUCUUUAAUACCCUUCUCUCCCUUUUUACUUUUGCGCCAAUGAACCUUUUGAAAAAAUGCUAUACCUGCCACCUGCUGUUUGAA